UACGUAGGGUGCGAGCGUUGUCCGGAAUUACUGGGCGUAAAGAGCUCGUAGGCGGUUCGUCGCGUCGGCUGUGAAAACCCGGAGCUCAACUCCGGGCCUGCAGUCGAUACGGGCGGACUUGAGUGUUGCAGGGGAGACUGGAAUUCCUGGUGUAGCGGUGAAAUGCGCAGAUAUCAGGAGGAACACCGGUGGCGAAGGCGGGUCUCUGGGCAACUACUGACGCUGAGGAGCGAAAGCGUGGGGAGCGAACAGG
rnacentral:rRNA from 1 species